UUGCAGGCAGGAAACUAAGCAAAGCAACUUGCAACUAAAAAUAUACGACCGCUAAUAAAGCAUCAAAUUUAAAAGUAACAAAUGCCUUACGUUUUAAGAAAAUGGGUAUUCUAUUUUGUGUUCAAGCACUGAUUGGUCUAGAAUUGGUAUUUUUUAAAAAUAUGCAAUAUCUCUUGCGUGCGUCUCUUCUCUAAAUCUUCCAAAAUCUUUCCUGAUGAUGAAGAUAAUAAUAAUGAUCCAUUUAAAAUUGCAGUCAAGUAGUGGCAGUCUUUGAUUUGCAUUUAAAAUGCAGCCUUUUCUUUUAGAAUUCAGGCAUGUUUAUAAUCUGUGCAUUAAUCUAUCUAUCAAUCUAAUCUCUAUAUCUAUAUAUGUGUAUGAGCAUACCUCCUGUAUAUUUCUGUUAGAUGCUGCAUCUUCACACUAUAUGCACACCAGGGUAGUCAAUGCUCUAUUUGACAGGAUGGGUGAACAAUGUGUGUAACUCAAAGACUAUGCUGGAAGACACAAACUCUGCUUUUGCAAAAGCCUUUUAUCUUUUUUGGGUGGUGUAAUACAAAAGUAUUUGGGUUGUCUGGGAGGGAGCGGAAAGGAAAUAGACAUCAGGCAGACACCAGGAUCGCACUGUGUGUUUGAAAUGCAGUCUGCAUGUGUGCAGAACGCACUGUGUGUUUGAAAUGCAGUCUGCAUGUGUGCAGAACGCACUGUGUGUUUGAAAUGCAGUCUGCAUGUGUGCAGAACGCACUGUGUGUUUGAAAUGCAGUCUGAAUGUGUGCAGAACGCACUGUGUGUUUGAAAUGCAGUCUGCAUGUGUGCAGAACGCACUGUGUGUUUGAAAUGCAGUCUGCAUGUGUGCAGAACGCACUGUUUGAAAUGCAGUCUGCAUGUGUGCAGAAUGCACUGUGUUUGAAAUGCAGUCUGCAUGUGUGCAGAACGCACUGUGUGUUUGAAAUGCAGUCUGCAUGUGUGCAGAACGCCCUGUGUUUGGUCCCUGCUGGGAGAUGUGGCAGUUUAGCAGCUAUGUUGAAGUCCGGUGUAGAAGCAGAGAUGGGUCGUUCUCUUAAACCUGGCCUUGUUUAUAACCACCAAGCUCAAUGAACAGACCAUCGUAUCGCAAAGUCAGCUUUUAGUUUGUUUUAAAUUUCUCUUAAAGGAGCGUAGAAUAGAAUCGUUAACUGUUGCACUACGUAAAAAAAAAGUAUAUAUAUCUAGGAGAAGAAAUAUAUCAAAACAGAGCCUUAAAAAUAAAUUGCUAUAAAGUUUAAAAAAAAUUUAAAAAAAAAUAAAAACACAAGUAAAAGGAGCAAUAUAUUUUCAGUGCUUUCAAGUACUCAGUAGGAGAAAAAUUGCAUUGUAAUCUUUUGGGUGGGGACCAUUACCAAAAAAAGUGUAGCUCUGUGUGUGUGUGUAAUUGUAGCUGUGAAUGCACGGGUAGUUUUUGAAGUAGUUGGUCUCUUCCUGUGUGUGUAAUUGUAGUCGCUGUGAAUGCACGGGUAGUUUUUUUAAGUAGUUGGUCUCUUCCUUUGUGUGUAAUUAUAGUCGCUGUGAAUGCACGGGUAGUUUUUGAAGUAGUUGGUCUCUUCCUGUGUGUGUAAUUGUAGUUGCUGUGAAUGCACGGGUAGUUGGUCUCUUCCUGUGCACACGCUGUAGCUCUAAGUCUCUUACCGAGGCGUUAACUCUUCACAAAGAGGGUUUGCAAGUAGCAUUGUCGUUCCAUAUCAUCACUGAAAACUGUGUGUGUGUGUUUGUCAUACAGCAGGGGACUCGCAGGCUUUGUAGAGGAUACCUCCUUUUAAAAGAGCCUGAAAAAGCAAUGUUCUAAAUCGAUGAUUGUGUAAACUGGAAGACCCGUUCUGUAGACAGAGUUGAAAGAUGCUGCUUUCUGUUGAAGAGCUUCUGCAGUGCUGUCGUAUGAGUAUGGCAGGUCUGCUUGUGAAGCUCGUGAUUAAUUGGAAUGCCGAGCUGAUGGCUGGCUUUUCAGUGAGCUGGUAUUGCAGGGAGUCCACGUGGAAGGUGAAGUGAAGUUUCAGGGAGGGAGAGGCAGCUGUACACAGAAGACAGUGUUGAUUUUCGCUUGCAGUUUCUUGCACAUUUUUAACCCCACCUUGCAUAGCGCUGCCUCAGUCUGCCUGUAGUAAACUGCUCAGGAAUUGGUCACGGUUUUUUUACCAACUGGAUUGAUUCAAAACCUCGCUGCCUUUUUAAAAUACAUAUACCAUAUACAACCAUGCAUUUCAACAGGCAGUCUAGCUGCAGUAUUCUGCAUUUACCCCAGUAUAAAAUCUACAUUCUGGCUGACCUUUUCAUAACCUCUUUUAGAAAGUGCCAAAUGACAAAACAAAACAAAAUCUGGUGUUUUUAUGCAGCGGCGUUUAUGAUUAAGUAACUGCACCCAGUUUUUUUAUUUUUUUAUUUUUAAAUCCACUGUAAGGAUUCCUCUCCGUGUGUGUUGGCCAUGUGAAGGUAUAUUGAAUUAUUAUGCAUCUGUAUGUGUUUGCUCAUAACAUGAUCUUAGUGCUGGCUUCUACAGCGGUGCGAAACGUAUAUUUUGUUAUUAAUAUUAAUGAUGGCGUACAGUUCACGUUUAUUGAAUUUGGAUUCACUGACAGUAUUUGGUUUUUGAUUGUGUCAAUUCAACAAGACACUUUCUGAUGCGCUGGUAGCUGCUGUUUUAAAUCACUUCACAUCGUUGUCUGAGGGUGGAGUACAGUAUUGACAAGGGCUUCAAAUGAAAUGUAGCUAUUAAUUUAUUUAUUAUUAGUUUGAUCACGUUUUCAGACCAAGCACACCUCCUCUUCCUCUACAGAAGAAGACAUUAAUGAAUAAAUGAAUGUGCAAAAAAAAAAAAAAGACUCUCUACCUGCAAAUCUAUUACAAAAAGAUGAAUUAUCAAAAGGGAUGCAAAACAGAGAAGCCUUCUGAUUUGUAGCAGCUGUGUUGGCGGUAGUUUCGAAUUCUCUAGUUAGAUGCAAUGUUUCUUUUUGUCCUUUUUAAUAUCUGCAUGCUGUGGUAACUUCCUCUGUGUGAUAUAGAUAGAUAGAUAUAUUAGAGCACUAUUUUAAUUGAAAUCACUGUGGACAAUUUGAUUUACCUUUUCAUGAUAGUUUAGUUUACGUGGUGACAUUUACAACAUCAGAAAUAAGAAAGUGCAAUAAUUGUAUCUUUUUUUUUUUUUUUUCCCCAAAAGGUAUCAACAGUAAUAGUCACGUGAACUGGAUCAAGCAAAUAAGGGAUAGAUCUGACUCCUUUAAACUAAAAGCAUACUGUAAUAUGAACUGAGUUUUUGAUCAGAAAAAAAAAACCCUGAAGUAUUGCUCCCACAUACCUGCAGCUUAAGUUAACGUCCCUGUGUAUCAGUGCAUUAGCCGCACACACGUGUGUGUGAUACUUCAUGAAGCUCAAGUUUGGUAUUUAGGCUGCGUUGCUUUCUGCGGGUCUCUCUUUACUAUGAAGCAUGCAAGUGCAAAGACAGAAUGGAGGCUGAACAGCCUCAAGAGAACCAAUGAGAUUUCAGCGUCCGGAUCAACCCAAGAUUAUCUUUAUUUUGAGCUUUCCUAUAACAGUCUUGAGUGGAGUUAGCUGGUGUUUGAGAAGGUGCAGUAUCGCUAUAUAUAAUGUACUAAAGAAAAAAACUGAGCCAAUGUUGCUUUUGACCAAAAUUCUUCUGAGAGAAAUAUUUUUUUUCCUGUAAAAUUUAAUUUGCACAUGAUCUUCUUGUUAAAUCCUCCUUGCACCUCACCGAGACUGACUGGGGUUCCUUGUGUGCAGCUGCUCCAGCCUCCUUUAUCAACGCGUUCCCCCACGUUUUAUGUCCUUUUUGAUGUGAUCUAUUAAAAUGUUUGAUGCACUGAACAAUUCUAAACGUGGACUUUUAAUUUUUAUAUCAUUUUGAAGAAUGACCAAAAUUUAGCUCCAUGUUCUGGCGUUUUUUGACUGUUGGUCCAUUUCUUCCUGGUCAAAGCUGCGUGGGGACCCAUAGAGUCCGAGACCCCUCACGGAUUGCAGUGCCCUCCGUUCUCCGUCUUAAUGAAUUACACAAUUAACGGGGAAACAGGAUCACCUUCUGAGAUCCGUUUGUGGGGACCAAAAAAAAAAGGGCACGCGAAAUACCAGCAAAGUAAACUUUUUGAUUUUUUUUAAAACUGUGCACACUGUUCUAGACCGUGAGGCUGCAGCAGCUUCUGUUAGCCUUGCGGGUUAUUCCGGGUGUGUUCAGUGUGGUCUGUACCUGCUCAGUCACCAGCUCUCCCCUCUUACCAGGGUCAGAGCGAUAAUACUGCCCCAUGAUAAUCAAGGGGGUUUCACUUCACAACCUUUACUUGCUCAGCACUACUACCUCAUCCACUGCAUUUCUUUUUUAUGAUGAUCACGGUUACACUUGCACUGUUGGUAAAACGGCAGAAGUUCGGUAAUACCGGUAAAAAUAAAUAAAGUAUAGAAAGCGAGAGAUGUGUGAUGGAGGAGAGAUCCUAGCUGUUUUUUUUUUUUUUUUUGAUGCGUCGAUUGCACACAGCCUGAAGCUGGAUAGAUGUGUUAUUCUGGGUUGGCUGCAAUCCCACUAGCAAUGGGGGGUUGUGCAUCCAGCUCUGAGCUGAAGUAGUUUCCUUGUGUACCAGUGCAGGCUGUGAGGAUUGCAUGGGGUGGGUUCGUGCUUGUGCGUGAACAGCCUUGCGUAUUGUAAUUGAAACCAGAUUUGCAAGCGUUUUGAAAAACCGAGAGAAACGAAUACUCACGUGUUUAACAGACUUUCCCUCGGGCUGGUGGUGUGAUUUGAUUUAGACCUGAACAGUUCCAGGGAAUCCACCUGCUUGGAGAGUUUUCUUAGGGACAGCCCUGGUUGAUGCAAUCCAGGGCUCUUAAACAAAGUCCUGGUGUGGCUGAUCGAAUCAACCCCCUGGGGUCAGUCGGAUUAACAGAUUUGAUUCGUUUUAAAGGAAAACUUUUGGAGGUUUCUGAGUCGCGUGUGUGCUUAUGGUCCUUGCACUCCUUGCUCUUAGUAGUUUGUAUGUAUGUAGUUUGCAAUUAUAUAUAAUUUUAUCGCUGCAGAGUUCCUCUGGAAAGAUGUGGUUUUCCUAGAGUGUGUGUGUGCAUUCUUUUUUUUUUUUUUUUUUUUAAUUAAAAGACGCUGGAUAUAUUUUCGUUGCAGUUGCAGGCGGGUGAUAAAGGGAACUGGUUUCUAUUACCUGACAGGGACCUCGUGCAUUUCUCAUCAGAGGCGUCUUGAAUGCCACGUGGCUCUGGGUGCUUUUGUUUUUCAGAAGGAUGCUUUUUCGUGAGUUCUAGUUUAGAAAGCUGGCGGGAGAGGAGCAGGUGCACGUGUGCGUUUUCAUUUCGGACGCGUGUGAAGCGGGUCUGGAGAUCGGUCCCUCGCUCACGCAAGCUGGGCUUUUCUAACUGAGGAUUCCUGUGAGGGGACUUCUUCAGGACAGCUCUGUGUCCUUUCUGCCGUGGGAAGAACUGUCACUGUAUACUAGCAGUACUGUAGCUAAGACGUAUCAACUGGACUUGCAUAUGGGAGAGGGCUGUUAUAAAAAUAUAUAAAUCACAUCUGGAAAGAAGGGUUACCGCAGAUAUCCUUAACAAUAGAAAAAAAAACUGAAAAAUGCCAGUAAUAUUAGCUCUCUUUGUUUUAUAAAUACUGUAAACAAGAUGUGUCUUAUACUAAUUAUUAUUAUAUUAUUCCUACCUCCAUAUAUUAGUUUAUUAAUAUAUAUAUAUUCAGCUGAAAUGUAAUCUGUUUAUCAAACUUUUUUUUACCAUUUGCAUUGAAGAAAAAUAGUGUGUAUGUGUGUAUAUAUGUGUGUGUUAUAUAUAUAAAAUAUAUUGCACACACACACACACAUCCGUACACACUGUAUAUCCAAUACCACUGCAGUGUGAAGCCACACUUUAUUUAUUAACUAGUCUUCUGUGCAUCUCCUCUGGGGCACGCUUAGUUCUCUUGGCUAUUUUGGUGGAUUUUCAUUUUGAUCCGUAUCAAAGGAAUUAUAUUACGAUGUUCCAACAAGACACAAAAAAAAAACACAGGAGAGAGAAAUACAGCCUGCUCUAUUUAAUAGCUUUUUUUAAUUUUAUUUGGGUAGAUGUUUUAUUAAAAGGUAGCCUUCACUGUGUAUUUAACUACAUCCGCAGGUUCCCCUAAAGUCAGCCUGAUGCCUUAGCCCGACAGCUGGGCGUUACGCAGGGAAACUUGAAACAUUAUAUUUACAUCUUGACUCUCAUUUAUUUCUUUUCUCUCUUAGCCUAGGAGAGCAGGUGGAUUCUUAGCUUCAGUCCUCAGGUAUUCCUAAGCACAGUUACAUGGUCUUGUCUGAAACUGUUCCACACGUCUGCGCAGACCCCUUGGAUUUCCUUCCCUAAGGUAACCUUAGGGGGUCCGAGUGGCUGUGAAACUAGCAGCCAGUGUUACCGGUCCCUCAUCUCCAGCGCUCCCCCUAUCUAAAGCUGUAGUCGAGAGCCGUGGGUACGAGAGCGGGGCGUUUUAUUGCAAACGAGAUCGGGGGGCUGUGCUGUCUUAUAACUAGUGCAGUGCUAAGAAGGGGCUCUUUUAUAAAGGAGGAGCAGGUGUGAUGAGGGGUGUGGAAGUUAGAGGUGUGAUCACAUGCACGCCUGACAACAAGAUAACAUGCUGUUUAAAAAAACAAACACCUGAGAAAUGGAGUUAAGAAGUGGAGUAGCACUGCCCUGUGGGAUACGGGUGACUGUUAAUCUAUCCAGCCUUACAUUAUAUAUAUAUAUAUAAACACAAAGAAAUCCUUGCUUGGAUAAAGCUUCCAUUGUCCUUCUUGAAGCUGGGAUGCCUGAAUAAAGGGUCUCGAUUUUCCACACAAGCCAUUCAUGAUUUGCGUGAGAAUGCAAUUCUGAAAGCACUUUGCCUUGAUAUUUCAUUGUGUGAGCUAGCAAAUGGUUAUUUGUUACAAAAAAAAAAGGAAAUAAAGGGUGUUACAUACAUGUAUUUAAAACUGAAAAGAAUUAAUAAUAAAGGAGAAAUAAUCUGUGAGACUUAUACAAAUAAAUAAAAAAAAGAGAGAGGCAUUCAAACUUGAUAUAUUUUGUACAAUGUUAUGCUGCAGCCAACACACGUCUUGUAAUUCAAUAUUGUGGCUUUGGAAUUGGUAAUGUUUAAAUAAAGUGCUACUGCUUCUA